AAGCUCGUAGUUGAAUUUCGGGGUUAGUAGGUUGGUCAUGCCUCUGGUAUGUACUGGUCUCACUGAUUCCUCCUUCCUUAUGAGCCGUAAUGCCAUUAAUUUGGUGUUGCGGGGAAUUUGGACUGUUACUUUGAAAAAAUUAGAGUGUUUAAAGCAAGCUAACGCUUGAAUACAUUAGCAUGGAAUAAUGAAAUAGGACGUUCGAUCUUAUUUUGUUUGGUUUCUAGGAUUGACGUAAUGAUUAAUAGGGAUAGUUGGG
rnacentral:rRNA from 1 species